rnacentral:rRNA from 1 species
UACGGAGGGUGCAAGCGUUAAUCGGAAUUACUGGCGUAAAGCGCGCGUAGGCGGUUAGGUAAGUCGAUUGUGAAAGCCCCGGGCUCAACCUGGGAAUUGCAUUCGAGACUGAAUAGCUAGGGUACGGUAGAGGGAAGCGGAAUUUCCGGUGUAGCGGUGAAAUGCGUAGAUAUCGGAAGGAACAUCAGUGGCGAAAGCGGCUUCCUGGACCAGUACCGACGUUCAGGCACGAAAGCGUGGGGAGCAAACAGG